UGAUAGUAGUAUGAAAGCAAUAUUGGUAGAGUCGUUAUUAAUAAAAGAAGAUACUUGUUAUAAGAUGUGUACAUGAAAUUAGGCUUCAAAACAACUUGUAUAGUUGUGUUUUAUAUUGUACACAUACUUGUAUAGUUUUAAACAUUCACGAUUGUCUUAGUCUGUUUUGUGAUGCUGUAACAGAAUACCUGAGUCUGGGGAAUUUAUAAAGAAGAGAUAUUUAUUGGUUCACUAUUCUGUAGGCUUGGAAGUUCUAAAUCCAGGGACCAGCAUCUGGGGAGAGACUUUUUGAUGCAUUAUCUCAAGGCAGAAGACAGCCAGAAGACAGAAUGAUGAGGGAAAAGAAGAAGGGAGAGAGAGGGAAGACAAGUGGAGCCCAAACUGAUCCUUUUAUAAGGAACCCAGUCCCUGUGAGGCCCCACCAUGCAGCUGGGGAUCAAGUUUCCAACUCAUGAGCUUUGGAAGAUACAUUCACCCAUUGCAGUGACCCAAGAUUUCAGAAGUCAUGCAUUAAUGAAAAUACUGAAAAAUGAGAGAGCAAGAGAGAAUGAAUUUUUACAAAUACAGAGUUCUAUGCAGACCGAGAGCAUGGAAUUACAAAUGAAUGAGCUCUGUGUGAGUGACAUUUGGAAGAGGAGGCAUUUAAACCCAACGUUUAAGGGUGAGUCAGUAGGAGAGGCCCAGAAGAGGAGCAUUUUGGGUCUGUGGAAAGACACCUAGAUGAAAGACCAAAAUAGGAGGGUAUGUGUCCUACACUUUAUCUUAGCCAAAAGGCUGAGAAGCAAUAAGGGGGUAUGUGUCCUAUUUGGCAGGUAGACCUGAGUGUUAGGAGGGGAGUGGGACAGAAGCUGAUUCUGGAGGAAACUACAAAAGCAAGAAGGAUGGAGGCAAUGACAAGCCUCAAUGCAGAGUUAAGGGAUUUUGGUUUGUACUGUGGCUAUGAACAACCAACAGAAGUUCUGAAUGUGGAAGUGACCCGAUGAGCUCCGCACCUUAAAGAAGAAAUUCUACAGGAAGGAAUGUGAGGAUUGUUGAGAGGAGGCU
rnacentral:lncRNA from 1 species